GCGGAAGGAUCAUUGUCGAACCUAGAAAACAGACCGCGAACACGUUUAUAAACUUCUCCCGCGAGUCGGCGCGCGAGCGUCGUCCCGCGGGCUAACGAACCCCGGCGCGGAAUGCGCCAAGGAAAACUGAACAAAAGCGUCGGCCCCCUGCGGCCCCGUUCGCGGUGCGCCUAUGGGGGAUGCGACGUCUAUUGAAAGUCAUAACGACUCUCGGCAACGGAUAUCUCGGCUCUCGCAUCGAUGAAGAACGUAGCGAAAUGCGAUACUUGGUGUGAAUUGCAGAAUCCCGUGAACCAUCGAGUCUUUGAACGCAAGUUGCGCCCGAAGCCUUUAGGCCGAGGGCACGUCUGCCUGGGCGUCACGCAUCGUGUCACCCCCUACCACACUCUCCGGAGUGAUCGCGUGGGGGUGGAAUUGGCCUCCCGUACGCUUGCCCGUGCGGCUGGCCCAAAUGCGAUCCCGCAGCGGCGCAUGCCGCAACCAGUGGUGGAAGAAUUCUCGUUCUUGCGUGCUGUUGCGGCUGCAAUGCGCCGUUUGCUCGGGCAUCACAAUCGACCCAACUGCGCGGUGGCAACAACCGCCGCGCUAUCGACCGCGACCCCAGGUCA
rnacentral:misc_RNA from 1 species